rnacentral:rRNA from 1 species
GACGAACGCUGGCGGCGUGCUUAACACAUGCAAGUCGAACGGAAAGGCCCUGCUUUUGUGGGGUGCUCGAGUGGCGAACGGGUGAGUAACACGUGAGUAACCUGCCCUUGACUUUGGGAUAACUUCAGGAAACUGGGGCUAAUACCGGAUAGGAGCUCCUGCUGCAUGGUGGGGGUUGGAAAGUUUCGGCGGUUGGGGAUGGACUCGCGGCUUAUCAGCUUGUUGGUGGGGUAGUGGCUUACCAAGGCUUUGACGGGUAGCCGGCCUGAGAGGGUGACCGGCCACAUUGGGACUGAGAUACGGACCAGAAUCCUACGGGAGGCAGCAGUGGGGAAUAUUGCACAAUGGGCGGAAGCCUGAUGCAGCAACGCCGCGUGCGGGAUGACGGCCUUCGGGUUGUAAACAGAUUUCGCCUGUGACGAAGCGUGAGUGACGGUAAUGGGUAAAGAAGCACCGGCUAACUACGUG